AAAACUCAAAUGAAUUGACGGGGGCCCGCACAAGCGGUGGAGCAUGUGGUUUAAUUCGAUGCAACGCGAAGAACCUUACCUGGUCUUGACAUCCACAGAACUUUCCAGAGAUGGAUUGGUGCCUUCGGGAACUGUGAGACAGGUGCUGCAUGGCUGUCGUCAGCUCGUGUUGUGAAAUGUUGGGUUAAGUCCCGCAACGAGCGCAACCCUUAUCCUUUGUUGCCAGCGGUCCGGCCGGGAACUCAAAGGAGACUGCCAGUGAUAAACUGGAGGAAGGUGGGGAUGACGUCAAGUCAUCAUGGCCCUUACGACCAGGGCUACACACGUGCUACAAUGGCGCAUACAAAGAGAAGCGACCUCGCGAGAGCAAGCGGACCUCAUAAAGUGCGUCGUAGUCCGGAUUGGAGUCUGCAACUCGACUCCAUGAAGUCGGAAUCGCUAGUAAUCGUGGAUCAGAAUGCCACGGUGAAUACGUUCCCGGGCCUUGUACACACCGCCCGUCACACCAUGGGAGUGGGUUGCAAAAGAAGUAGGUAGCUUAACCUUCGGGAGGGCGCUUACCACUUUGUGAUUCAUGACUGGGGUGAAGUCGUAACAAGGUAACCGUAGGGGAACCUGCGGUUGGAUCAC
rnacentral:rRNA from 1 species